CUUCUGUACAAUGGGCACAAUGAUUCCCACCGUUUACUUCUGUUCUGACAUUCUGUGUCCUCACUGAGGGGGGAUGAUGAAAUGGACUGAUCAGCACUAUAACUGGGGUGAAGGAGAUUUCUUUGAGCAAAUGAAGCCUGGCUUGUACUUUAACUCUUCCCAGCAGCCACAAAUUAAGGCACCGUCAGUGACUGCCUGCUGCCUUCACCUCGAAAGUAUUGUGGUCCUGGGUCACCUUCCACUCGUCACAGUUCCUGGGCUGAGAGUUCAAAGUCCCGUUUCCAGAGUGGAAAGAGAAUUCCAAAGUUUCUGCAUAUCUUCUAAAACAAAAUCCCAAACAAACAAAAACAAGAUCCCAAAUAAAGCAGAUUAAUUGAAUAU